GUAUUGAUCUAUUUAUUUUUUACUUUCAUUCGUCCUAUGGCAUUGUUCAAUUUCUCUCUUUCCCCAUGAACAGGUUGCAGCAGAGAAGCCAAAUCCCACCAUAUUUAUAAAAGCUUGUGAGUGGUUGGGAGUAAAGCCUGAGGAUGCUGUUCAUGUGGGGGAUGAUCGUAGAAACGAUAUAUGGGGUGCCAGAGAUGCAGGUUGUGAUGCUUGGCUAUGGGGAAGUGAUGUACAUUCCUUCAAAGAGCUUCAGAAUUCAAUAUGCUUUUGUUGCAUUUAUGUAUGUUAAAUAGCUAAAAGACCCACAAGCCCCUGCGGGGAGAUCACUCAAAACUCUAAAGCUACAUGAUUAUUUUUUUUUAUUUUGGAUUGGGAAAAAUGGUAAAAAUGUAUGUGGCUUUGUUAUACAUAUAUUUUUGUAGGUUAUAUUGGGCUAGAUAGUUUUGAAUAAUACUGAUACAAGAACUUUGAUAAGGUGCAAUUGUAUUUCAUAUUCUGCUAUGGAGCACAGUGAUGUACUAAAAUAAAAGAGGAUAUCUUUUCGAAUGUAGUGUUGUGUUGGUGUCAGUUACAUGUCCAAUACAUGUUCAACAUAGAUAGGCAAAUUUAUCGCAUGGUUAUUGGGUGUUUUUACCUUGGUCUCACCAAAAGUGGGGUCAAGGGGUUAAUCUUAAUAAAAUAAAAUAAAUAAAUAAAUAAAAGAUAGGCAAAUUUAUGAGAAUCUAGUGUGGAUUUAACCCAUGGCUUUGUGCCACAGUGGUAUGGUCUACAAUCCCUAUAGUGGACAUUGUGGGUUCGAGGUUCAUGUGGUGUUGGGGCUGAUCUUUUUUCCCUUUCUCCUUAGAUUAGGCUAGUGUAGGUUCUAAUGAGUGA